ensembl:lncRNA
UGUUUCUGCCAUUUUCUGUUUCAUUUUUGAAUUCACUGUGGAAUUCCUUUAAGGGGCACAGUAGUUCCUGUAAAUGAAGUUGGUAUUUUUCAUGUAAUGCAAAACAGCAGAAUGUGACUUCUUGGAAUUAAAACUAAAGCGGUAGUUUGACACACCCACAGCUGAGCCUUGUCAAGUAGGAGGUGACACUGUGUGUGUGCUUCAGUCCUUCAUGUUAUAACUCAUCACUUCUCCUGUCAAAAGCAGCAGCACAUUUGGCCAUGAGUGGUGUCACAACUGCCAAAGGCUCAUUCAUGAUUUUGACUCUGCUGUGUCUGGUCCAUUUUUCAAGUUCAGUGAUAAACAACGAUCAACUGGAGGAACUGAAAGCAAACAUUCAAAAACUCCAACAAGAAACAAUGAGAAAGAAGGCUGAAUAUAUUUUAGACAGAGCCUACCUUCCAGCUCUUUUUGAUGAUAUUGGACGCUUCAUGGAUCCUUUUUCCGAACUUCUGAAGUCAUUGAAUUUUCCUACAUUGGUACUUACACCAAUGCUGGAUUUUAUGGAUGACAUAGAGACUUUCCUGGAAGACAGCAAGAAGUACAUAAAUACAUUCUUUGAGACAAUAGCUGCAGAAAUCAAGGACAAUGAAGAUAAACUAAGCAGCGUGAUGGCACAUCUAGAAAAGCAUAAAGAAGAACUGUAAGAUAUUAGUCAGCGUCUGUCUCUAGUAUUAAAUGUUCUGUAUUUGUAAAACUUCUCUUUCAUACUGUGCAGGUUUUGAGUCAAGAAACAAUUUUGUCAUAUUUUCUUUUCAUUGUCUUUAUUUUAAUUGAGUUAAAAUACAAACACAAGACACAGAACUGAGAUUGUGUCUAAGUAACCAUAUUAACACUGGCAACUGUUAAUGAUUUAAAUGAUGAACGCCUUUUAAUGUGAAUAAAGACAUUAAAACUGUUAUUAUUUAAUGUUUUUGCAAAUUGUGAUAUUCGUGAGAAAAGACAGAAGCUGUUGCUGAUUGUUCUCUAAAUGUAAAUUCCUUGAGUUUCAAAAUGCAGAACACUCAUCACCUGAUCCUCUGAUGUAGGCCGUGUGUGUGCGCGCGUGCGUGUGUGUGUACUGUUAUUCUACACUACAGACUAGAUGUUUUAUUAUGGUGUUAAAGGGUGAGAUUAGUAUAGUGCUACACAUCUUAUUUGACUUGUAAAUCAUCAGUGAUGCCCUGGAAAAGAGAAUGAGCAAAAUUCAUGAACAAAUAUGUAAUAAUCCAUAAAGUUUUAUAUGAUCAUAAUAGUUAUUAUAGUUUUGUAGGCUAUGUUGUUGUUUUAUAUGAUACAUAUUACUAUAUAUCAGGGGUAUUAAACUAAAAUUUGAGGAGGUCCAGUUGGAGAAAAUCUUCUCAAGCAGAGGUCCGAGACAUCAUAAUGUCUAACUUACGUUAUGAUUGUGAUAGAGAAGCAGGCUUCUUUUUUUUUUUUUAAUUAAUAUCUGAACGUAUGAACAAUAGACUGUCAAAUCAAUGAAAAUACAAGUUAAAAACAUUUCAACAAAAUUUAUUGUUAACACUGAAACACACAGUAGGCCUACAUUAGAUAUAGGGCUGCUGUUUAAAGUUAAUUAUAGAAAAUAAAUAAAAUGGCUAAAUUGUGCAUCUUAAAACAAAGUGCUUAAUUUCAGAAAAAAAAAAUAGCAGCAGCUUGAGUUUCCCUUUUUCUUUACCUUUUACAUCUCGUCUUAACAGUCUCAAUACAUUUUCAACAGAUAACAUCAAAACAUCCCUGAACCUGUUCCUUCACUGUUGGGAAGUGUGUAUAGUCUCCUUGCAGGUCUUCUUUGAACACUUCAAGUUUCCUCUGAAAGGAGCAGACAGCUGUCAUCAGUUCACAAAUUGAACUGUCCUUGCCCUGCAGCUUCAAAUUCAGCUCAUUCAGGUGUGAAGUGAUAUCAACCAAAAAGGCCACAAUAUCCAUGUUUUUCCCAUCAUUUAAAAAGAGAGAAAAGUUUGUUGCUUUCUGACUUUCCAGCUCUUCCAAGAAAGCUGCUACUUCACUUCUGAUGGACCAAAAUCGCCUUUGCUAAGCCAUCUCACAUUGUUGUGAAGCAGAAGAUCAUCAGCGUGUGCAUCAAUUCUCUAAGAAAUUCCCUGAGCAUGCAAUGCUGACAAGAAGAAGAUGCCCUGAGAAAAUUUAUCAUUUUCAUUAGGGAUGCACCGAUACCGAUACUGGUAUCGGGUAUCGGGGCCGAUACUGUAAAAUGUGUGCGUACUCGUACUCGUAAAAGUUAACCGAUACCAUGAACCGAUACUAAUGUAGCCCGGAUGGGAAUUUGGGAGUGGAUACUCAUAAUUCCCAUGGACUUAAACGCCACGGUAACAUAAGGUGUUCACAGUUGAUGUUAUGUGAUGUAACUCUACCCUGAAUGUAAUUUGCCCUGUAAUAUGUUGCAAGGUAAAUACAGGUAAUUAGAGCAAUCAAACUGUUAUGUUAAUCAUAAAAGUAUUAUUUUAUGGUAUGUAACUCUGAAGGGAGUUAAAAUAUUUUUCAGAGUUCUCAUUUUCUGGAGGCCCGUGAAGGUAGCAUAAAACGGGACCUGUGUAUCUGUUGCAAUGGAGGAGGAGAAGAGAACGGCAUGGAGAGAUGAACGAGGUUAGCUGAACCAAAGUGAGAGACUCGGCUAGUUUUACUGAGGUUAACCAGCACAAAAGAGUGUGUGACUAGAAAGCUGACCGUGUGAGAGCUUCACAACAGAGUGUGGGUGAAGUGACUUUUUGUUUCAAUGGUCGCACCACCGUGCUGUGUUUCCAGCUACGAUCGCCGAGGCUAAAGGCUAGCCCGGACUGCUUGGCUUCGCCAAGGAGGCAGCCGCUAUGGACUGUCGGAGAGCUGGACAGUGACGGGCUAACGUGCUGUAGCAGAGACAGCAUCGGGUCCGCAGGGAGUGGAUUUAGUGUGGGACUGGUGAACGGCGAUCUACCGAGCAACGGAACUGUAAGUCAGACUUUUGUGCUCUUACUGGGGAGAAGAGGAUUUUUCUCCAUCGUCCGGCGUGAGCAGCAAACAGGCCUGCAACAAGUGUGAAUGUGAGUGUGUGGAGCCGAUGUGUGAAUAUUGUGUGUUUAGUGGAUUUAUAUAACGUGUUUUGGAGUGUAUGUUAGUGAGUCACUUACCAAAAGGUGAUAACAUAAGUUGGGUUGUUUAAUAUAAUUUGAAAGGGAAUUAUUUCAUUUAUACAGUGUAUUUCAUUUGGUUAAGGAAUUGGAAUAUCAUUUGAGUUUAAAAAAGGGAUGUGUUGUACAGUAUUUGUCUCUGCCCUUAUGUUCAGUAAACGUUUCGUUUGUGUUAAAGAGUUGUCUGGGGUCGUUUCUUUACUACUGGUUAAGUUUAACUGUGUGUGGUAGAAGUAUCGGUUUUUGUACUCGGUAUCGGCAAGUACUCAGAUCCAAGUAUCGGUAUCGGAUCGGUUUGAAAAAAUUGGUAUCGUUGCAUCCCUAAUUUUCAUUAUUGUUUUCAUCACCUCAGCAUACUCAUCUGACAGGGUGGAGCAUAAGACAGACUGAUGAAUAAUGCAAUGGUAAGAGAUUAGUUCAGGAUUGUCCUGUUUCAUUCUUGCUACAGCUCCUUUCUCUCUCCCCAUCAUAGCAGGGGCUCCAUCUGUGGUUAUUGAAACCACUUGGUUUGGCUCUAUUCCUCGCUUUGUUAACAUUUCCUUAAUGGCCAGGUAAAUAUCCUCUCCUCUUGUAGUGCUGUGAAGGGAAGUUACUCCUAGCAGGUCUUCACAGAACUCUUUCUUAUCAUUGUUGAAGAACCUUACAUAAACUAACAGCUGAGCAUUGUCAGACACAUCAGUGGACUCAUCUACAGCCAAGCCUACACAUGGUGUCUUAACUUCUUCCAGCUGGGACAGCACAUCCUGAGCUAAUAUUUCGCUUCUCUUUGUGGCUGUUGAUGCUGACAUAGGUAUUUGCUUUAUUUUGUCACAAAGCUCUUCUUUUUGUUUACCCUCAAGUAAUGUUUCUGCUACUGCACUCAUGC